UCGAUUUGGAGUUUGUUGCCUAGAGUGAUGGGCUCCGAAGCUAACGCGAUAAAUCGAUCGCCUGGGGAGUACGGCCGCAAGGUUAAAACUCAAAUGAAUUGACGGGGGCCCGCACAAGCGGUGGAGCAUGUGGUUUAAUUCGAUGCAACGCGAAGAACCUUACCUGGUCUUGACAUCCACAGAAUCUUGCAGAGAUGCGAGAGUGCCUUCGGGAACUGUGAGACAGGUGCUGCAUGGCUGUCGUCAGCUCGUGUUGUGAAAUGUUGGGUUAAGUCCCGCAACGAGCGCAACCCUUAUCCUUUGUUGCCAUCGGUUUGGCCGGGAACUCAAAGGAGACUGCCGUUGAUAAAGCGGAGGAAGGUGGGGACGACGUCAAGUCAUCAUGGCCCUUACGACCAGGGCUACACACGUGCUACAAUGGCGUAUACAAAAGGAGGCGACCUCGCGAGAGCAAGCGGACCUCAUAAAGUACGUCUAAGUCCGGAUUGGAGUCUGCAACUCGACUCCAUGAAGUCGGAAUCGCUAGUAAUCGUGAAUCAGAAUGUCACGGUGAAUACGUUCCCGGG
rnacentral:rRNA from 1 species